rnacentral:rRNA from 1 species
AUUGAACGCUGGCGGCAGGCCUAACACAUGCAAGUCGAGCGGAUGAAGGGAGCUUGCUCCUGGAUUCAGCGGCGGACGGGUGAGUAAUGCCUAGGAAUCUGCCUGGUAGUGGGGGAUAACGUCCGGAAACGGGCGCUAAUACCGCCUACGUCCUGAGGGAGAAAGUGGGGGUUCUUCGGACCUCACGCUAUCAGAUGAGCCUAGGUCGGAUUAGCUAGUUGGUGGGGUAAAGGCCUACCAAGGCGACGAUCCGUAACUGGUCUGAGAGGAUGAUCAGUCACACGGGAACUGAGACACGGUCCAGACUCCUACGGGAGGCACCAGUGGGGAAUAUUGGACAAUGGGCGAAAGCCUGAUCCAGCCAUGCCGCGUGUGUGAAGAAGGUCUUCGGAUUGUAAAGCACUUUAAGUUGGGAGGAAGGGCAGUAAGUUAAUACCUUGCUGUUUUGACGUUACCAACAGAGAAAGCACCGGCUAACUUCGUG